rnacentral:rRNA from 1 species
GAUGAACGCUAGCGGCAGGCUUAAUACAUGCAAGUCGAGGGGCCUCUCUUUUACGAAUACCUGGCGGCUCACUGCACUCGGUGGCGGAACACGUACGCAACCUUCCCAUAACUGGUGGAUUUCCCUCCGAAAGGAGGUUUAAUACACCUUGACAUAACGAAGAGGCAUCUUUUUGUUAUUAUAGUAGCAAUACGGUUUUGGAUGGGCGUGCGCCUGAUUAGGUAGUUGGCGGGGUAACGGCCCACCAAGCCUGCGAUCAGUAACUGGUGUGAGAGCACGACCAGUCACACGGGCACUGAGACACGGGCCCGACUCCUACGGGAGGCAGCAGUAAGGAAUAUUGGUCAAUGGACGAAAGUCUGAACCAGCCAUGCCGCGUGAAGGAUUAAGGCCCUCUGGGUUGUAAACUUCUUUUAUCUGGGACGAAAAAAGGGCAUUCUUGCUCACUUGACGGUACCAGAGGAAUAAGCACCGGCUAACUCCGUGCCAGCCGCCGCAGUAA